AAGAGAAAGACAGAGAGAGGAGGGUAGAAGAGUGAGAAAUGAUAACAGACAAAGCUAUUAUCUGCACUUGGACCUAAAAGUGGAAUAAAAAAAUUAAUGACAUAAGAAGUGCUUAACGUUUGCAGAGUCAUUACUUUCCACAAAAUCGCCAGACUCCCUUAAAGAAUUGUGCAAUUUUAAGAGUUUUUGAGGGAGGACAGACAUACUGAAUUUUGUAACACAGCAACAGCAAUUUAUAAAUCAUUCUUAAUCUUCGGCAUUCAUUUGCAAUAUAUAAAGUUGUUACCUGCUUCCUGCUACCUGCCAACACAUUUCAGCUGUUUUCAACUGAUCUCAAAAGUUUCACUACAUUUCAUUGACGGUAAACAUGUAAAACUUUCACAAAAACAGCUAAUGGUAACUGAUAUAGGCAACAUUUUGAAGUCUGUGGAGAAAGUCCCCAAACUCCCUUAAAAAAUCACCCAAUUUGGUGAGUUGUUGAGGUUGAAGAAACAUUAUAAAUGUCACAGCAACCUGUCUUUGACAAAUUCUUUACUUUUUUGUCCUUUUUGCAAAUUUGGCUAAUGUUAUUCAUUAUUCAUUCAACAAUAUGUGUUUAUGUAAAAGGCUGGAAGUGAUAUUUGAUCAGAAGUGGUCGGUUGAGACACGUCUGGAGGUGAAAACUUGUCAAAUACAUUACACAGUAACCAAUAUAGACUACUUCUUUGAUCAAUAUGGAAAAAGUCACCAGACUCCCUUUAAAAAUCACUCAAUUUUGUGAGUUGUCGAGUACGGAGAAACUUUGUAAACCAAAUCAAUUAUUAAUUAUUUGGCCGUUUUUGUAAAUCUGGCAGAUGUUACACAGUAAGUUGUCCUUUUAUUUUCAUAAAGAAGUGGUAAGUUACAUCUGAUCACAAGCGGUCACUGGAGACGUCGUAACACCAGGUGUGAACUGACAGACUAAGAGCUGUCAGCUUUAAAUGACUGCAGGUGUGAACAGAGCCGCAGAGAGAGAGAGAGAAAAAAAACAACCUGAGCUCCGAAGAUUCGAGGGUUGUUUGUGUGUUUGUCGAACCUUGAAGACGAGCAGGAUGAAGAGGAGCAGCAGGAUGAUCUGAACGCUGAUGACGAACAGCUGAGAGAAGAGGGAGACCAGAUACGACAUACUGCCCAACUUAUUGUCCACGAAGGCCUGCAAACAGAGCGACAGUCUCAACAAGCUCAACAAAACAAGAUAACAUAGGCUCCGGUCGACUGAACGAGCAAACGUUUGUACCUGAAAGGCUUCGUGGAGUUUCUUCUGCAGCAUCAGGGCGAUUUGUCGAUCUGGACAAAACAGAAACAGCAAAGAUGAACAACAGUUGAUGAGUAUGUCUACAAGCAGUCAGACGUGCUCGCAGGCAAAUGGAGUUCAGCCAGGAGAAGCUAUGUAGAACAUCUCUGCAGCGCUGCAGCUAGUGAUUUCAAUUUUUCAGUUAAUCUGCUUGUUAAUCAAUGAAUUGUUUUGUCUGUAAA